rnacentral:rRNA from 1 species
GGGCCCGCACAAGCGGUGGAUUAUGUGGAUUAAUUCGAUGCAACGCGAAAAACCUUACCUGGCCUUGACAUGUACCGAAUUGAGCAGAGAUGUUCAAGUGCUCGAAAGAGAACGGUAACACAGGUGCUGCAUGGCUGUCGUCAGCUCGUGUCGUGAGAUGUUCGGUUAAGUCCGGCAACGAGCGCAACCCACAUCCCUAGUUGCCAGCAGUUCGGCUGGGCACUCUAUGGAAACUGCCCGUGAUAAGCGGGAGGAAGGUGUGGAUGACGUCAAGUCCUCAUGGCCCUUACGGGUUGGGCUACACACGUGCUACAAUGGUGGUGACAAUGGGUUAAUCCCAAAAAGCCAUCUCAGUUCGGAUUGGGGUCUGCAACUCGACCCCAUG